UACGAAGGGAGCAAGCGUUGUUCGGAAUUACUGGGCGUAAAGCGCGCGCAGGCGGUUCUUCAAGUCAGUGGUGAAAGCCCGGAGCUCAACUCCGGAAUUGCCAUUGAAACUGUGGAACUUGAGGAUGAGAGAGGUGAGUGGAAUUCCCAGUGUAGAGGUGAAAUUCGUAGAUAUUGGGAAGAACACCGGUGGCGAAGGCGGCUCACUGGCUCAUUUCUGACGCUCAGGCGCGACAGCGUGGGGAUCAAACAGG
rnacentral:rRNA from 1 species